rnacentral:misc_RNA from 1 species
GGAACACCAAAGCUUAGUAGUUAGCUCAUAGAUUUUAGAUAAGUAUGAUUUUUUCUUUCUCAAGAUUUUUAUAUGAUUCGUUAAAAGCGAAAGAAAGAAAAUUAUUAAACAAGUUUGUAGAUUAAGUAUUAUAACAUCACAACCUCACAAAGUAUACAUAGCUAAUCUAUGAACACCAAAGCAAUUCCACAUACAUUAUUCUUAAGUUGCAAUUAAAUAAUACAUACUAUUUGGAAAACAUAUAGGAGCCAAGCAGCUAGCCACCCCAUCCUUCAAGCCAGAUCAGUUUCUUGCUGCAAAAGAAUAACUAGCUAGCUUGUUGACAUAAAGGCAAGAUAUUCUCGACAUAAUUAGUGACU